GGACAACAAUCAGCACAGCCACAAACCAGGAAGAGCAAAGAGAUUUCAUCUUAAGGGCCAACUCUUGAUUCAAAGAGUCUCCUGGGUGCCAGACACUGUGCCUAGUUACUGGAGAAACAUCUCUCUCAUCUGAGAUACCAGACAUAUGAGAAAAGAAGCCAUCUUGGAUGGUCCAGCAGAUACCACAUAAAAUAGAAGAACCACCCAGCUGAGCCCAGUCCAAGGUGGCCAGAGGCAAACAUCGAUGGUCAGAUCCCCUGAGAACUCAUGUUCUUCUUCCAGAC